rnacentral:rRNA from 1 species
CCUACGGGAGGCAGCAGUGAGGAAUAUUGGUCAAUGGACGCAAGUCUGAACCAGCCAUACCGCGUGCAGGAAGACGGCUCUAUGAGUUGUACACUGCUUUUGUACUAGGGUAAACGCAGAUACGCGUAUCUGUCUGACAGUAUCGUACGAAUAAGGAUCGGCUAACUCCGUGCCAGCAGCCGCGGUCAUACGGAGGAUUCAAGCGUUAUCCGGAUUUAUUGGGUUUAAAGGGUGCGUAGGCGGUCGGAUAAGUUAGAGGUGAAAUCCCGAGGCUCAACUUCGGAAUUGCCUCUGAUACUGUUCGGCUAGAGAGUAGUUGCGGUAGGCGGAAUGUAUGGUGUAGCGGUGAAAUGCUUAGAGAUCAUACAGAACACCGAUUGCGAAGGCAGCUUACCAAGCUACUUCUGACGUUGAGGCACGAAAGCGUGGGGAGCAAACAGGAUUAGAUACCCCUGUAGUC